UCUCGCACUCGCGUCGAGCCCCUCUCUUCUCUCUACCUCCGAACCCUAGCUAGACCGCGCCCACCUCCCUGCCCCGCUGUUGUUGUCUCCUCCACCCGGCCAGCCGCGGUCACUCGCGCCCGUCUCCUCCGGCCAGCCUCCGCCUGCAACCUCCCCCCUCCCGUUUUCAAAAGGGAAGGGAAGGGAAGAGAAGAGGGAGAGCGAGCGGGUCAGGCGACGGCCAUGGCCAUGGCGCUCGCAGAUCCGCCGGCCCCGUCGUUGCCGCUGCGCUCGUAGGUGAGCGGCGCCGGGAGCUGCCGUCGUGAGGAAGCCGCGGGAGGACGAGCUCAACGGCGCCCCGGGCGCUCACUUCCAAGAAGGCAAUGGAGGAGGAACUCGACCUGGACAACCGCCGCUGGACGAAGAGCCCCGAAAAAAUCCCCCAACCACCCCUGCACCACCGCCUCUUCACCUUCGACCACGGGUUGCAGCGGUCAGAGGACCAAAGUGUGGAUUCUCCUGCCCUUCCCUUUUCCUUGAUUCUCAUCUAUUCCUCCAGCCCCUCAAAUCCUUGCGUACACAGUACACACACUGUCUCUCUCAUCCCGUGGAUGGGAAUGGCCAGCGUGGAUGACGGGUCUUGCUGUUCUUUGCACGUAUUUCUGUCAGAUUUGAUUUAACUUCAUCCUCGCUAUUCAUAAUCUAUUAAUUAAUUACCUGUACAUACAUAUUUUAUCAUGUCUACUAAUAAUCUCAUCAGUUUACAGUUCAUACAUCGGGUUAUUUUAUCCUGUUUUCUUCAGGUUUGUAUUUAGGGUGUUCUUUUUUCCCUUUUCAGAUGUAUGCCAUAUGUGUAGCAAUCGUUCUAGAACACCCCCAUUCCUUCUCUUCCUAUCAAUUUAGUCAGGACCCACUUUGGACCAUUUUCAUAAACCACUCUAAACCAUUUUCUGAAAAUUGAUAGGAAGAGAGUGAUUUUCAUAACAGCAGCUGCAGCCCCCAGGGUUAAUUAGAACCUAAAAUGUUGCCUUUAGUUUGUGAAAAAGGUCUAGAGUGGUUUCUGCAGCUGCUGUUAUGUUUCAUUGAUUUAGUCCUAUAGUCGGAUAGUUCCAGUGGGUUUUACUAAAUGGUUUUGUAGAUUUAAUUAGUGAAAAGGCCUCAAUUGGUUUAUGCAAAAUUGCUUGUCUGUUGGCAGUUGAAGCAUACUUGGCAAAUGGGCCUUGCCGUGAGUCGCGGUGCAACAGUGAUCUCGAUGAGCAGGGCAAUGGUCAGAUACAAGUCAGCACCAAAGAUGACUGGAAGCACUCAAAACAGUUUACCAUGCUAGAGCUAUGUCAGGUUGUACGAGGGCAGUUAAUGAAUAUACUUGUGACACUUAUACUCUCAGCAAUGCCAACAAACAUGGUUUAUGAUGAUAUUGGUGGUCUGAAGCUUUAGAUCGUCGGGGUUGCUCUCAUUCGUUCAAUUUGCCACUGAUCCUUCCAUUCUACUGUUGUUCAUUAUUAUCAUACGAAGGCUGAUCUAUGUUCUCUAUUUGUUGGGUCCUCCGUGUCAUUAUCAACAAGGUUGGGUCUCUCUUGCUCAGUUUUUGUCUACUAAAAGGUGAUGUGAGCUGAUGUGCUUGUUUGGGCGGUCUCCCCGUGUGUGUGAUAUUUGUUUGCAUAUCAACCCUGUGUGCUUGAAAUUUGCUUGCAUAUCAUGAUAUCAAACGAGGAUGUGUUCUUGUUUACCUCUUGAAUAGACAGAUCUUGGUGCAUUACUGCUACCGUGCCUCUAGGUGGUCAGCGAGGGUCGCACUUGCGCUAUGCUUCCCUCUGGAUUCUUGCAUGGUAUUCGGGUGCCUAGCUUCGUUCAGUUAUGAGUCAAAAGUAACAAAAUCAUAUGUUUCUGAAUCUUGCAUAUACCUUACAAUGCAGCGGCCCAUUCUUGUCGUGCCUGGACUAGCUAGAUCGAUUAGAGUUUGUCUAUUAUGCCUUCGGUAAUCAGCAGCAACACACGAGAUCCUGGAACCUGCAUUAGUUAUUGUUUGCACAAUAAUUACUUACUGAUAUCAUUACCAAGCUAUCCGAGCCAUCACUCCCCGGACACCACUUGGUUUCCUUGCCCAUCUAUUCGUCGGAUCUUUACACAAUUGACAGGAUUGACUUCAGAUCUUACGAAAGGUUUCAUAAAGAUAGUUCAGAACCUAAUCUAUACAAAGUUUUACAAACGAAAUCUACACAAACUCAUGGAUUUGAAACUGAAAGAUAUUAUGUUAUGCAUCUCUCCAAAAAUCCAGCAUAAAUAUAUAGAGGGAACAUAUAUUCCCAGAAAUUUACGGUCACGGUCAAGAGCAACGGUGAGUGUGGAGCAAGCCUGUGGGAGAGUUUUUCUGAAAGCAAGCCCUCAGCACGCCCCGACAACCUUUCCCUGUCAGCUUUGCUCCCCUCUUCCUCCUGUUUGCUUAGAAUUGUUUUAUUGUCGUUCAUAUUCUGGAUUAAAUUCUGAUGAGGUUUCUGCUUGUUAGAUUAAAUUCUAGCGAAGACUAAACUGUAGCCACAAGAAGGUUGGAUUUUACUUGUUUAGUCUAAAAAAGAGUUUUUGACUUAUUUGAUUAGAUUCUAAGUCAGCUUUUGGGGGGACUUUAGAUACAAUUUGUUAGUUGGAAAAUAUAUGUGUUCUUGCGCUUGAGAAAUUGCUGCCAGUGUUACUGUAUCAUAUAUGAAUGUGUACAAGGCAUCAGAAAGCACAAGUAGCGAGAACAAUUAGUUCAGUUUUAAUAUCAUAGUUCUACUCAUCCUAAAUUGUGUUAAAUUAAUCUGCUAGACUAUGGUGAUAAUAGAGGGGCCCUAUUUUUUAAAAUUGUUUCUUUGUUCCAAUUAUAAAGGGCCCUCUGCAAGGAUAUUGAUUUCAUUAGGUGUAGAAGUUUAGUUGGACAGAUAUUGUUCAUCAGUUUCUUAGUGCGUGCCUAGUUGUUUCCCCUUUUUACAUUGCUUAUUUUCUAUAGGAUUUCUUGAAAGAUAAUAACUUGCUUCAACAAUUGUAGAAUGAUCAUGGUUUCUUUGCAUUCCUGUACUUAUAUACGAUUAACAAUUUCAUGGCUAUCCUGUGUAAGAAACAGACAUCGUUGGCAGUAGCCAAUGCAUUUGCGUUAAAUGCCCUGUUGGCUGAGUGAUGUAGUCCUAUUGUGAAGAUGCUUAUUGUUUCAUUUCUGUAAUGUAGGAACAUGUAUAUCCUUUCAAGUUCACUGAUGUGGUUACCACUACAACACACGUCCCUCCAAGGACCAAGGGUGGGCAUGAUCUUCUACAAGCAGGAUGGGCGAACGGAGACGGUGCACUUCGACAAGAUCACGGUGCAGCUCAAGAAACUCAGCUAUGGGCACUUCGACAAGAGCACUGCGACCCCGUGCUCAUCGCGCAGAAGGUCUGCGUUAGGGUAUACAUGGGUGUCACCACCAGCCAGCUCAACGAGCUCGCCGCCGAGACCGCUGCCACGCUCACCGCCUCCCAGCCUGACUAUGCCUCCCUCGCGACGAGGAUUGUUGUGUCCAACCUACCGCCAAGUAGAAAUAGUCUGUGUGGCGCUCGUAAAUAAAGAGCAUUCCUGUAGAAAGAAAUAGCAUGUUGAUUUCAUCUUGAAAUAAUCAUAGCUGAGGGAUGAGGUUCGUAACUGAGGGUCAUGUGCAGAGCUGGAGGAAGAAGUUGCGAAGCUUGGAACUCUCCUUGUGAAGGGCUCAAGGAUAGCAGUGAGGACAAUGCCUCUUUAGCUGUAAUUGUGAUACUCCUAAUGUGCGCAAGUAAACAUUCCUGUGAUACUCCUUGUGCUAAAAUGUUGGUUGUUAGUACAGAGGUGGUGACAUUAUUUGGUUCUCUUGGUAGGCAAAUUGGACAAAUUUGAACUGUGGACGAAAUCAAAUUACAGAAUGAACUACCCGUGAAACUAUUUCACGCGGUUAACCUUUUUAUGUGACGCCCGACACGAAGGCGCCACACUACAUUAUGCAACGCCUCAUAGAUUGGCGCUACACGUCUGGCCAGCGUUGCACCCCAAACUAUCUAAAAAUUGUUAAGUCAUUGUGCAGAGCCUACGAGCUAGGCACUGCACUGUAUAGUGUGGCGCCUAGCUCUCAGGCGCUGCACUAGUGGUUGCACUACAAAAUGAAACAACCACUAGUGCAACACCUAGAAGCUAGGCGCUACAUUGUAUAGUGUGGCGCCUAGCUCUCAGGCGCUGCACACUGAUUUAGUAAUUUUUGGAUCACACACGCUGGCUAGGCGUGCAGCGCCUAUCUGCGAGGCGUUGCAUAGUGUAGUGUGGCGCGUUCGUGUCGGGCGUCACACAAAAAGGUCAGCCGCGUGAAAUAGUUUCACGAGCAGUUCAUUCUGUGAUUUGAUUUCGUUUGUAGGUCAAAUUUGUCAAUUUUGCCCUCUUGGUAUUGAUUUCAUGAUUUGUGGUUAAUACAUGAUGUAA